CCCACGGACAGCCCUCGCCGUGCAGCCACGCGAGGACAUCGAGAUGGCCGGCCUCGGCGGCGGCCGUGCACGUCCAUCGGUCCCACGCGUAGCCGUUGGCGCGCAGCCAGGCGAGCAGCGCAAUGGAGCCGCUCCUGGCAGCGGCAUCGCACGCCCACUUGCUCUUCGGGCAGCCGUUGGCGUGUAGCCACAUAAACACAACAAGAUGCCUGUUGGUGAUCGCUGCGACGAUGGCGCGAUCGUCCCACGGACACCCGCCGGCCCGGAGCCAUUGAAUCAGUUCUAGAUGGCCGCCUCUGGCUGCGGCCUCGCAUGUCAACGCGCUCCACGGGCACCCUUUGGUUCGUGCCCAUUUGGCUGCGCCGACAUGACCGCGCUCGAUCAUGCGGUCCAUAUAGGUAUGCGGCGCGCCCUUGUGUCUGUAUGAAGAGGAGCACCGACGCCACUGACGACUUGUCCAUCGUGGAGCCACCGCAUCCAUUUCAUCCAGAUGAUCGAGUAUGGCCUCGACGAUCUCAUCCGGCAGGGCUGGCACCAUGUUUUCAAUGUCAUCGGAGCCGCCAUCCAUCAUACUCGCUAGAUUCACGCGUGCACGCACGCCGCGCGGUCUCGACAACAAUGAGUGUGGGACUUUUUUGUGUUUUCUUUGUGGGUCGUCAGCACACAAAUACAAAAAAAGAAGAGGAGGAGAUGCGAAGCAAAAAAAUCGCCGCUUGCAC
rnacentral:lncRNA from 1 species